rnacentral:tRNA from 1 species
GCUCGGUUAGCUCAGUGGUAGAGCAUCACCUUGACAUGGUGGGGGCCACAGGUUCGAACCCUGUACCGAGCACCA